UCUACGGGUGGCUGCAGUGGGGAAUAUUGGACAAUGGGGGGAACCCUGAUCCCGCGACGCCGCGUGAGUGAAGAAGUAUUUCGGUAUGUAAAGCUCUAUCAGCAGGGAAGACAGAAAUGACGGUACCUGACUAAGAAGCCCCGGCUAACUACGUGCCAGCAGCCGCGGUAAGACGUAGGGGGCAAGCGUUAUCCGGAUUUACUGGGUGUAAAGGGAGCGUAGACGGCGAGGAAAGGCUGAAGUGAAAGGCUGGGGACCAACCACUGGACUGCUUUGGAAACUGGAUGGCUUGAGUGCAGGAGAGGUAAGUGGAAUUCCUAGUGUAGCGGUGAAAUGCGUAGAUAUUAGGAGGAACACCAGUGGCGAAGGCGGCUUACUGGACUGUAACUGACGUUGAGGCUCGAAAGCGUGGGGAGCAAACAGGAGUAGAUACCCUAGUAGUC
rnacentral:rRNA from 1 species